CCAUCUUCUAUCUACCCUUCUCUUCCUUGCUUCGUCUUUCCUUUGCAUCUAUAUUCUACAUUUUCCUCCUUUUCCUGUUCCCUGUUUCCUCUUACCCUCAUUCUAUUUACCAUCGUUUAAUUGUUCAAUCUUUCCCUCUCUUCCUCCUUUCCUUCAGUUUCCCUCAUCUUCUUGUUCAUUGUUUCCUCCUCCUCUCUAUCACUCUUAUAUCUUUCGCCCUUUUGUUUCCUUUGAGCCUCUCCUCCUCCUCUUCCUCCUCUUCCUCGUCCUCGUCCCUCAUCUCAGCUCGAAGUGUCUCAUCUGUAGCGACAGCGUGGCAAGAUUACACCAUGAAUUAUCGUUAAUUGCCGAGCGAACGAGAGUAAAGAACGACUGUGACUGUUUCUUUACGUGUUUGGAGGCAUCGGUGGUCGCUACGUCACGCUGGACCUCCCCUGUGUGUGUGUGUGUGUGUAUGUGUGUAAGGUAGCAAGUGGGUUGUAAUUCAGUCGCAUUGGCGGUAGUCCCUGUCACGUUCUUGUAUAAUCUGUAAGUAAUGGGUUUGAAAUUGAAUCUUGUAGCGAGUGAAGCAAGCAAUUCGCGCCGUAACGAGACUCGAGGUAAGUAAAUCUGUUAAUAAUGCGAGCGCCGAUUAAUCCCAAUGCACUGAAACACGGGAAUUUUACUGCACAUUGACUAACCUCCACAUUGCCCCGAAGCUAAACUGGGCGAGAGAACUGUAAAAGAGUCAAAGGAUUCAUUUAGGCUUUACUUCCUUGCCACGUCACGGAACUGAGGCUUCGGUUGGUAUCUGAUGACCAUGGAGGAGGGAAGGACUCACGUGGAGGGUAAUAAGCGUGUUUUCUGCAGUGAAGGAGGUGAAGGGCGGGGAGGAACACUAUCUUAUUCUAGACAACCUUGGACACCGCCAGGAGCUUUGAUGUUUAGGACGUGCGUGUGUGGCGUAUUAUUGAUUUACAUCCCACCUCAUUUCAUCGGAAAACAGACUUACAUUUGAGAACCCAAGAGGAGCAGCAGCAGCCACGCUUGUCACGCUUGUCACGUUCACCUCUAACUUCCUGGCGCCGCAACUUCCUGGCGCCGCAUCUCGUUGGACACGGAGAGAUAUCGUAUAGGUGACAGAUUAACAAGAUGGUGGGUGCCUCCUAGGCAGCAUCCCGAAGGACAUGGACUUGAGCCUGGUACAGCGGAUGCAGGAGCAACCCACACUCACCCAAAGUCGAGUCUCCGCAGAACCCGUAAGUACCACAGGAAGGAACCAAGGUAGCCACUGUCUGAAAUCAACCAGCACAGAGGAACAAGUGGAUGAUCCUCAUUCAGCUAUUACAAGGCCACCAUAAAUAUGCAGGUUCGGUGGGAAGGGCUGCAAAUUCAAACACCACAAACCCUGCCCAAAAUAAACUAACCAUGGCCCUCGAGAUGAACAACUCUGGGAAGGGACUGCCCCAAUUAUCACCCUGUAUUAUGUCAUAAAGCCUUUCAGAAACAAGAAUGAUUUAAAGGGCUGCAAGUUCACCCACAUAAGAGGAACUAGAAGGCAGCAGACAGCAACAAAAAACCCUGUUGGCACAGAACAUAACCCCAGAACAGUGAAAGCACAAGCAGUUCCUCAAAAUCAUUCAAAUGUGAAACUCAACAAUUUUUUAGAAAUAUUCAAGCUAAAAGACACACACACAUAACUAACAACAUAAACAAAGUUAUGGAAGCUCAGGGACUCUCGCACUGCAAAACCUAAUAAAGCCACCAACACGCAGAGCCACCCCACACAAGUACUUACAGCAGCAUUACUCCCAUGAACCCACCCUGGGCCUGGCCAAGGGUCAGGGCUCACUAGUGGAGCGACUCUUAGUGGGCAAUAUUCUAGAACUCUAACCCAAGACAAAUUAAAGCAAGCUUCCAUUUUCUAAGGAUCUAUCAUGUGAAAACGACUUCAUGAUUACUGCUCACUGAAAAAUACCCAUCAGAAGGAAUCAAGACAGCAGAAUCAUUAUCUAACUACACUCCAUCCUGGACAGAGGAAAGCAAGAACCCAUGGGGGAACAAUAACAUACCUGAGAAACAACAUGCUCUAAAUGCAAAAACACUCCUCAUACUUGACGACAAAACGGAACUCCAGGUGAUUCACAUCCAGGUAUGCUACAUGGUGUUUGUAAACUGAUACCAACCUCACAACUGCUGCCCCAAUAACUUCAGCAGAGCCAUAGAGGCCAUAAGUCACUAAGUCAGCUGUUUGACUCCCUAUCAGUCCCCACAACCAAGAUCAUCCCCACUGGGGACUUCAACUUUCCCUUCCUAAAGUGGCCAAAGGGAACUUUAACUGAAAGCACAUACAUGUACAUUGAAAACAGUCAAGCUGAACUGCUCCUGGACAUAACAUAUUCCUCAUUCCUGGUGCAGAUAAUUGAUGAACCUACCAAGGGUAAAAAUAUUAUUGAUCUGCUCUUCACUAACAAUGGUGAUGCAAUUAACAGCAUUUCUGUUGAGAGAAGCAUCUUCUCUAGCCAGAAUUUCAUCAGAAUAUGCCCAAAAACAAUGCUACCCCCUAGUGACCAGUCCCAGAGAAAAAAAUCUUUCUCCAGCCUUAAUUUUCCAGCAGCCAAGAAAACUGAGAGAUUAUAAAAGCUCAGCUGAGGAACAUGGGCAGGGAGGCAGCACUUCAAGGCAUUGACCCUGCAGCUAUGCUGAAUAUCCUUCUCACCACCAUCCUAAGGACUUGUGAAGGCAGCAUAUCUCUGAGGAAGAGGCAAGCCUCCAGAAAAGCAUCAUUCCAAGGGAGUGUACAGCAACUCUUAUAGUACCAAGCAGAAGAGCUUGCUACAAGAUAAAGUUUGUGAUACCGAGAUGAAAAUCAAAGAUUCCCACGAGACAGUGAGAGAGGGAAGAAAAUCAAGCAGUACUUAAUACCAAAGUCGACCCUACAUUUUUCUACAAGUACAAAAAGUUUCCUAGAACAAAAAAUGAGAGUAGGGCCAAACCAAGGUGAACAGUGAGCACUCACGCUGCUCUUGUGAGAGACAGGCUCUCCUUCUACUACCCAAGGAAAGUCAAGACCCUCCUCACCUCCACUAUUUCAUAUAAUGGCCCCAGACUCUUCAAUGCUCUUCCUAAAAAUGUCAGACACACCACAGGCUGCUCAGUGCCCAGAUUCAAGAAGGAAUUAGACAACUUCCUGCAAGCACCGACAGAUGAGCCCCUGUCUCGGGCUACACAGCUUACUGUAGGGCAGCCUCAAACUCUGCCAGACCAGAUGGCUCUCCUAAAAAUUGAUUCUCAGACUGGCAGCACCACAACUGUGAGAACAACCUUCUACAUUCAACCAGGUAAAUUAAGUGCAUACAUAUACCCCCUUCUCUUGCCCCCUGACUGUCUUGUUCACAAUAUAUACAUGUAGUACUACUUACUUUUUAUGCAAGCAAGAAAAUGUUCAACUGAACAAGUCUUCAAUUGAACAAAUGUUGAACAAAUCUUCAGUUCCAAGUUAAUGGUUUAUUAUUUUGUUUAUACAUGAUGAUAUACAUUGUAUGAGUUAU